GACGAACGCUGGCGGCGCGCUUAACACAUGCAAGUCGAACGGAAAGGCCUGCUUUCCCUUGUGGAUUGCGGGUACUCGAGUGGCGAACGGGUGAGUAACACGUGAGUGAUCUGCCCCCAACUUGGGUAUAAGCCUGGGAAACUGGGUCUAAUUCCCGAUAGGACUGCAGGGUGGUGCCUGUGGUGGAAAACGAUUUUCUAGUGGUUGGGGAUGAGCUCGCGGCCUAUCAGCUUGUUGGUGGGGUAAUGGCCUACCAAGGCGGCGACGGGUAGCCGGCCUGAGAGGGUGGACGGCCACAUUGGGACUGAGAUACGGCCCAGAAGCCUACGGGAGGCAGCAGUGGGGAAGAUUGCACAAUGGGCGGAAGCCUGAUGCAGCGACGCCGCGUGGGGGAUGACGGGCUUCGGGUUGUAAACUCCUUUCGACCGCGAGGAAGCCACCUGGUUGGAAGGGUGGUGACGGUAGUGGUAGAAGAAGCACCGGCUAACUACGUG
rnacentral:rRNA from 1 species